GAUAAAAAGGUGUUUUGUUAGAAGGUAUGACACCUUUUAGGAAAAAAAAAAUUAUAAGGGGACAAUGGGAGGAUAAUUGAACUUUAGAAGUUUAAGAUCUAUAAACUAUCCUAUCUAAACUUGUGGAGUGUCCACAAGUUAAUUCUCAACCAGAUGUAUCCAGUGAUGAGGCACGAUCAUGAUACACACCUCCUCACCGAAAGGUU
rnacentral:lncRNA from 1 species